rnacentral:rRNA from 1 species
UGGGGAAUUUUGGACAAUGGGCGAAAGCCUGAUCCAGCAAUGCCGCGUGUGUGAAGAAGGCCUUCGGGUUGUAAAGCACUUUUGUCCGGAAAGAAAUCCUUGGCUCUAAUACAGUCGGGGGAUGACGGUACCGGAAGAAUAAGCACCGGCUAACUACGUGCCAGCAGCCGCGGUAAUACGUAGGGUGCAAGCGUUAAUCGGAAUUACUGGGCGUAAAGCGUGCGCAGGCGGUUUUGUAAGACCGAUGUGAAAUCCCCGGGCUAACCUGGGAACUGCAUUGCGUACUGGCAAGGCUAGAGUAUGGCAGAGGGGGGUAGAAUUCCACGUGUAGCAGUGAAAUGCGUAGAGAUGUGGAGGAAUACCGAUGGCGAAGGCAGCCCCCUGGGCCAAUACUGACGCUCAUGCACGAAAGCGUGGGGAGCAAAACAGGAUUAGAUACCCUGGUAGUCCACGCCCUAAAACGAUGUCAACUAGUUGUUGGGGAUUCAUUUCCUUAGUAACGUAGCUAACGCGUGAAGUUGACCGCCUGGGGAGUACGGUCGCAAGAUUAAAACUCAAAGGAAUUGACGGGGUCAUAGCUGUUUCCU